AAUCAACGCUGGCGGCGUGCCUAACACAUGCAAGUCGAACGAGAAAGUGGAGCAAUCCAUGAGUACAGUGGCGACCGGGUGAGUAACACGUGACUAACCUACCCUCGAGUGGGGAAUAACUCCGGGAAACCGGAGCUAAUACCGCAUAACAUCGCAAGAUCAAAGCAGCAAUGCGCUUGAGGAGGGGGUCGCGGCUGAUUAGCUAGUUGGUAGGGUAACGGCCUACCAAGGCUGAGAUCGGUAUCCGGCCUGAGAGGGCGCACGGACACACUGGAACUGAAACACGGUCCAGACUCCUACGGGAGGCAGCAGUGGGGAAUUUUGCGCAAUGGGGGAAACCCUGACGCAGCAACGCCGCGUGGAGGAUGAAGUCCCUUGGGAUGUAAACUCCUUUCGACCGGGACGAUACUGACGGUACCGGAAGAAGAAGCACCGGCUAACUCUGUGCCAGCCGCCGCGGUAAAAC
rnacentral:rRNA from 1 species